GUCUUUUUGAUAAAUAAUUUAAAGUCUAAUCUGCCCACUGAUAAUAUAUUAAAGGGCUGCAGUAUUUUGACUGUACAAAGGUAGCAUAAUCAUUAGUCUCUUAAUUGGUGACUUGUAUGAAAGAUUUAAUGAAAUAUAUACUGUCUCUUUUUAAUUUAUAAAAUUUAAUUUUUUAGUUAAAAAGCUAAAAUGUAUUUAAAAGACGAGAAGACCCUAUAGAGUUUAAUAUUUAAUAGAAUUAAAAUUUUUUAUAAGAUUUAAAAUUUUAAUUUUAGUAAAUAUUUUGUUGGGGUGACAAAAAAAUUAAAAAAACUUUUUUUAUAAAUUUACAUUAAUAAAUGAGUAAGUGAUCCGUAAUUUACGAUUAAAAGAAAAAAUUACCUUAGGGAUAACAGCGUAAUUUUUUUUUUUAGUUCAAAUAAGAAAAAAAGUUUGCGACCUCGAUGUUGGAUUAAGAUAAAAUUUAAAUGCAAAAGUUUAAAAUUUUUGAUCUGUUCGAUCAUUAAAAUCUUACA
rnacentral:rRNA from 1 species